GUCCGCAAUCGAUCCCAUCGCCGUUUCAAAUACAUACACUCUCUAUAAAGCUGUGUUUUGGAUACCGACAGGCCUCAUUAAUCAAUGGCGGAUAGAGUGCUCACCGUCGCGCAGGACGGAUCCGGUGACCACACCACUGUGCAGGAAGCAAUAGAUGCCGUGCCUCUCUGCAAUACUUGCCGGACGGUUAUCCGUGUGGCGCCUGGGGUGUACAGGCAGCCUGUUUAUGUGCCUAAGACUAAGAACUUCAUUACCGUCGCGGGUUUAAGUCCCGAGGAUACUGUCCUCACCUGGAACAAUACCGCUACCAAAAUCGAACACCACCAGGCGUCUAGGGUGAUUGGGACGGGGACGUUUGGGUGUGGGAGUGUGAUAGUGGAAGGGGAAGAUUUUAUUGCUGAGAACAUCACUUUUGAGAACUCUUCUCCUGAGGGUUCAGGUCAAGCAGUGGCAAUCCGGGUGACAGCUGAUCGGUGUGCCUUCUAUAAUUGUAGGUUUCUAGGGUGGCAGGAUACUCUGUAUCUUCACUAUGGAAAACAGUAUCUGAAAGAUUGCUAUAUUGAAGGAAGUGUGGACUUCAUUUUUGGGAACAGCACCGCCCUCUUGGAGCAUUGUCAUAUCCACUGCAAGUCUGCAGGUUUCAUAACUGCACAAAGCAGAAAAUCUUCUCAGGAGUCAACUGGUUAUGUGUUCUUGAGAUGUGUGAUCACAGGUAAUGGAGGGACUUCAUAUGCAUAUCUUGGACGGCCAUGGGGACCCUUUGGAAGGGUGGUCUUUGCAUAUACAUAUAUGGAUCAAUGUGUCAGACAUGUAGGCUGGAAUAACUGGGGCAAAGCUGAGAAUGAGAGAAGUGCUUGCUUUUAUGAGUACAGGUGUUAUGGACCAGGUAGUUGCCCGUCAAAGCGAGUGACAUGGGCCAGAGAACUGAUGGAAGAAGAAGCAGGACAGUUUCUCAUUCAUCUUUUCAUUGACCCUGAUCCAGAAAGGCCAUGGCUUGCUGAAAGAAUGGCCCAGAGGAUACCAUAUUCUGCGUAGAAUCUAUAACUUUAGCUGAUAAAUUAGCCAACAAUCUCAGACAGAAGCUUCCUGCAAAUAAAUUGAGAGUAGCUUUCUUUUUUGUACUGAAGCAUUCCAAGCUCUAAAUAUCUUAUUAUGCAUCUUAAGAUCGACUAGUUUUAUUCCAAGGUAUUUCUUU
rnacentral:misc_RNA from 1 species